rnacentral:rRNA from 1 species
CCUCUAGCACAAAGUAUUAAAGGUAACGCCUGCCCAGUGAUANAAUUAAACGGCCGCGGGAUCCUCCACCGUGCAAAGGUAGCAUAAUCACUUGUCCCCUAAAUAGUGACUAGUAUGAACGGCCAAAUGAAGAUUUUACUGUCUCUUAUAGCCAAUCUAUGAAACUAAUCUAUCAGUACAAAAACUGAUAUAUUAACAUAAGACGAAAAGACCCUGUGGAACUUUNNAAGCAUAACCCAUCAUANNAUNGGACCACCUGCUUUUAGUUGGGGCAACUUUGGAAAAAAACAAAACUUCCAAUAAAAAUUUAAGAUUAACACAUCUAUAUAACCCAUACACCCGACCCAACACAUGUUGAUCAAAGAACCAAGCUACCCCAGGGAUAACAGCGCCAUCCCCUCUUAGAGCCCAAAUCGACGAGCGGGGUUUACGACCUCGAUGUUGGAUCAGGGCCCCCAAACAGUGCAACAGCUGUUAACGGUUUGUUUGUUCAACAAUUAAAGCCCUACGUGAUCUGAGUUAAGAACCGGAGC